rnacentral:lncRNA from 1 species
CUCUGACUCAACUUUCCAUUCUCAUAUUUGAGAAGAUAGGCACAAAUGAAAUACAUUUGACAAUAUCUAAUUGUUUAGUUUGUCCCAAAUGUCAAAAAAUGAGGAGAAAAACAAAACUAACAAAUUUGAUAUAAUUUGCAAAGUGUGUUUGUCAUAUAAAAGAAGUCACAGUUGAAUCCCCUUGACAACUAGCUAACUCAUUGGGUAUUUACUACAUCCCUGUAACUGUUUUAAUUGCAUCUGUUAAUCUAUGUAAUGCUCUGAGCUGUUCAUACUGCAAAGAUGGCUGUGAUUUCAGCACUGAGAGGUUAAAUAACUUUGCCGAAAGUUGCACAUAGCAAAUGUCAGAGACAGAUUUUGAAUAGAAGUAGUCUGACUCCUAAACCUGAUUAUUAAUGUCAAAGAUAUCCUGAUUCGGAGUGACUUCAGCGCACCCCUAGUAUACUGGAAAUAAGAUAUGGUUUACCUAAAGUACAACAACCUUUAUUGGACUGCUUUCAGUAAGAUAUGCCUGUGGAAACCAGUACUGUAAUUUCAGGAUUUUCCCUCUAACUAAUGAAGGGCACUUUCUUU